UAUACCAACUCCCACUGUUCUCUGCACUCUGAGUAGGUGGCCCAUUGGAAAACCGUUAGGUGAGACUUCAGAAUUUGUUUGAAGACCUCCCUAAUAUUGACUCUAAAACAACCGUGUUAGUCUUGGGGAUAAGAAUGGGUGUUUGGGUUGCUGGACUUAGAACUUGAUACCAGAGAUAUUGACCUUCAGUGAGAAGAAAUCCUUCUGAAUGAGGAACAGAGAAUGAACCUGAGCAGCUCAGAAGCACAUUGUUGAAGCUCAUUUAAAUCUUAAAAAGGCACUUGGACAUUCACCUCAUAACCUAAGUGAGGACCACACUGAGUCAAGAAAAUCUGGACAGACACACCAGCGUGGAUAACGAGGCGGUCAAACACAUUGUUUACUUGAUUCUGAUCAUUUUGUCUUCUAAGGUGAAUGCC